rnacentral:tRNA from 1 species
GUGGCUCAGCGGUGGAGCACUCACCUAGCACGUGCGAGGCCCUGGGUUCAAAUCUCAGC